AGUUUUUAACUCAGCAGCAAAUGAAGAUUUUACAGAUGGCUAUAGUGGAUCAUGAAACCAAGCUUGAAAAUGCGAAAGAUAUGUGUGACACAUUUUUGAAGAAAGCCAACGACUUGAGUAAACAUCGCAAAACCUUUAUUGGUGGUCAGCAAACUAAUGUGGAGAAGGAAAUCUCCAAGGUGCAGGACAGAGUUAUCAUGGAAACUCAAGAACAAGAUGUAUCCGUUGUUGAAACAUACCUUCAGUCCCUGAUCCUUGACCGCUCUGAAGAAACCAUCUGAAGCUCGCACAUAGGAUGCACAGGGAAGGGAGAUUAGCCACGCUAAGAAGACAUUAGUAGUAGUCAGUGCAGCUCCUUUCUCUUUACCCCGUUUGUUACAAUUGAGACUGAGACUGUUAACCAUUAAGUGAACCCCCAGCAGUUCUGUGAGUAGCAACAGACAGUUAAGUGUGGAACGUCCAGGCCCAUGACAGCAAGGGAGAUAGAUACAUUCUGCCCAGUAGUGGCAGUUACAUUUUGGAAGCAAACGUCAUUUGAUUUUGUGGUUGGUUCUCUGUCACUUCCCCAAAGUGAAUGUUACCUUACUUAUUUUAGGAAGAAGUGAAUAAAGAUGGGACCCGU